rnacentral:rRNA from 1 species
CAGAGGUGGCAAGCGUUGUUCGGAAUUACUGGGCGUAAAGGGCGCGUAGGCGGCCUUCUAAGUCAGACGUGAAAUCCCCAGGCUUAACUUGGGAACUGCGUCUGAUACUGGAGGGCUCGAGUGCGGGAGAGGGAUGUGGAAUUCCAGGUGUAGCGGUGAAAUGCGUAGAUAUCUGGAGGAACACCGGUGGCGAAGGCGGCAUCCUGGACCGACACUGACGCUGAGGCGCGAAAGCUAGGGGAGCAAAACGGGAUUAGAUACCCCGGUAGUCCUAGCCCUAAAACGAUGAGUGCUUGGUGUGGCGGGUAUCGAUCCCUGCCGUGCCGAAGCUAACGCAUUAAGCACUCCGCCUGGGAGUACGGUCGCAAAGGCUGA